UCCUCCUCUACCGACAGCCACACCUCUCUCUCUCCAUCCCCUUCGCUUUUGCUUCCUGACCGGCUUCGCGCGGCAGCCGGCGGGCAUGGCCACGGUGGGGCGUGGGCACGGAGGACGGCGGGGCCCUGGCGCAGCGGCCGGUGGGGCUCAGUUAAGGCGUCGGCUGGAUCCGGUGGCUGCACCGACUGCAUCAAGCUUCGCAUCUGCAAGCUCAAAGAUCGAACCACGGUAGAGUCCAUGCGUGAAGGAUGUGGCAAUCAACGCCGCCAAGGAUCUGGUGGUGACCGGCACCAUGGAUGUCGUUGCGCUGCCGGGUUACCUCCGGGACAAGCUCUGCCGAACCAUGGACGUCGUCGCGUCGGGCACACUAUACCACAACACCACAUUAGCGUCGCACGUGGGUUGGUAAAAGUCUGUCAUUACCGACAAACAAUCAGUCGGUAAAACAUUCUAACCAACUAUCAGUCGGCAAUUCGAUAUCUGCCAACAAACUAUCAGUCGGAAUAAAUACUUGUAUUCAUCGUCUGAGGGUGCGUCGGUAUAAAAUAUUUUGACAUCUAACAGUCCGUCAGCAAAGCUCUUUGGCGUGGGCCUUUCUAAUCCCACUCGCGUGCGGAGCAAAAGGCCCAGCAUGUUACCGCUAGCGCAUAUAAACGUCUAACCCUAGUAAAGCUCGCUCCAUCCCCCUAUCCACAUCUCACGCACGUGAGGUCGCGAGCGCCGCCGGGUCCUCGGCUGGGGGCGCCAUUCCCCUUGCUCGCCGGCUACACCGCGUGCUCAGCUCCUCGUCGCCGUCGGAUCUGGCGGCCCCAUCCCACCUCUAUCAUUGGCUCCACCACUCGAGGAUCCUCUCCGCCGGCACCUGCGCCACGGCGGCCGGGCUGGAGCAAGCGUUGUUCGAUGCUGGCCACGCCCCUUGCCCGCAUGCCGUGCAGGGGCUCCGUGGCGGCACUGCGGCAGGCGCGUCCGCCACGGUCACAUCUACCGCCGGUGAGCCUCUGCGGCUUUUUCUUAGAUGUGCACCGCCUGGGUUGACGGCGGCUCGGCAUCGUCGGCACCAGAGCUCGUGAGGUACGGCGCGGAAGCCACGGCUGCACAGCCACGGCGGCGCUCAGAUCGACACCAGCCACGGCGGCUCGACAUCUUCGGCACUGGAGCUCGCGAGGUACGACCCGGCAGCCACGGUGUGCCACAGCGAGGCUCAAAUCGACAGCGGCGGUAACCGUCCGCCGGUCUCGCGACCCUCGACCUCCCUUUCCGUUGUCCCUCUGCUCCAAGAAGCUAAGUGCGCAUCUCGGUCAUCCCAAUUUCUAGCAAUACUUAGAUCCAAAUUUUAGCACUUCGUGGUAUAUCAAUGCAUAUGAAAUUCUUUCUGUAACUAGUUACAUCUGUUCGUAAAACUAGUUGCAUCUACUAUCAUCUAUCUUUUUUGCAGUCUUUCUUAUUUCAGACUUCAGAGACGGUACGUGCUGCUGCAUCUCUACUGCAGAGUUCUGCACACGCUUUAAACUACUGUACCAUUGUGCUUCCCCGCUGUAUAGUAAUCUUGUUUUUUUUUUCUAUGGAACUCUAGAAGAUGAUGUGUUAAAAGGAGUGAAGUGCUCAGCUUUGUUAGCGAUAUUUAGAUUUUUGGUUGUGUCUAUAGGCUUGGUCUUAUCUUCAGUCAAGUCUUUUGGGGUUCUUGAGCUGUGGUAAGCACUAUUUGGUGUUUAGUAUGGUAGAAAAUUUGGUUGUCUUCUCGAACCUCCUAGCUGAUAUGGAACCUUUGUUAUAUGCAGUUCUAGAAAAAUAUUGAACAACUAAUAUUUGUAUGGAUGAUCAAUGUCAAUGUUUUAUAUGCUCCUAUUGAAUCUAUAUCCAUAUUCGUA